UAGGGAAUAUUAGUAAUGGGCGCAAGCCUGAACUAGCAACACCGCGUGUGCGAAGAAGGCCUUCGGGUUGUAAAGCACUUUUUGAGAGGAUGAGGAAGGACGGUACUCUCAGAAUAAGUCUCGGCUAACUACGUGCCAGCAGCCGCGGUAACACGUAGGAGGCAAACGUUAUCCGGAUUUACUGGGCGUAAAGCGCGUGUAGGUGGUUUGGUAAGUAGAGCGUGAAAGCUCCUGGCUCAACUGGGAGAGGUCGUUCUAAACUGCCGGACUAGAGGAUGGUAGAGGGAGGUGGAAUUCCUGGUGUAGCGGUGAAAUGCGCAGAUAUCCGGAGGAACACCAGUGGCGAAAGCGGCCUCCUGGACCACUCCUGACACUCAGACGCGAAAGCUAGGGUAGCAAACG
rnacentral:rRNA from 1 species